rnacentral:rRNA from 1 species
GAUGAACGCUGGCGGCGUGCCUAACACAUGCAAGUCGAACGAAGCACCUUGAUUCGAUUCUUCGUAUGAAGAUCUAGGUGACUGAGUGGCGGACGGGCGAGUAACUCGUGGGUAACCUGCCUCAUACAGGGGGAUAACAGUUAGAAAUGACUGCUACUACCGCAUAAGACCACCGCACCGCAUGGUGCACGGGUAAAAAGUCCGGUGGUAUGAGAUGGAUCCGCGGCUGAUUAGGUAGUGGGUGGGGUAACGGCCUACCAGUCCGACGACCGGGAGACGACCUGUGAGGGUGACCGGCCACAUUGGGACUGAGACACGGCGCAGACUCCUGCGGGAGGCAGCAGUGGGGGAUACAGCACAAUGGGGGAAGUCCUGAUGCAGCGACGCCGGGAGAGCGAUGAUGUAGGUCGGUAUGAAAAGCUCUAUCAGCAGGGAAGAAAAUGACGGUACCUAACUAAGAAGCACCGGCUAAAUACGUG